UUGCCUAGACAACGGGAGAGCCCGACCUCGC
rnacentral:piRNA from 1 species